rnacentral:lncRNA from 1 species
GCAAAAUUGUUUUUGUGAUGCUUUUUGUGAUUCUAUAUUAUGUGAUAGUUUUCUCGAUCUAAGUCGUGUCUUAAAAAUACCCAAAUUGGCCUCAUUUUGGAGCACACCUUUUAUUGCACAUAUCUUCACAUGAAAAGGAACAUAACAGUUGGAAAAUAACUAAACUUAAGAGUUUAACUUAAAAAAUAGAGUGCAAUUCGAAGUUGUAAAUCAAAAAAUUAUGUUCGUUUGAAGUUAGUAAGUUGAGCAAACUUAAGAUUUGUACAACAAACUCGAUAUUUGUCCAGCAAAUUUGAGAUUUGAAUUGCUAACUCUCCAGGACUCUGCAAAAUCUCAUUUUUGCUCAGUAAAGACUCGUAAUUUCAUCCAUCAAACUAGAAAUAAUGUACAAUACUCAGUUCGAAGUUCUUUUGUUCCUUUAGAAUUUAUUCAUUUCAAAUUUGAAGUUCAACUGCAAUAAUGAACCUCCAAUUUUAAUCUCGAUAGGCUAACAACAUUUAUUUGUGACCAAAAAAAAAAAAAUAAAAAAUCAAAAAUGCAUAAAAACAAGGGCAUAGCCAAAAUUAUAGGGUUGUGGGAGCAAAUUUAAGUCGUGGGAGGCAAAAGGUGGGUCUGUUGCUUAGGUAGGAGGUUUUGAAAUUGUCUGUUGCAGUACUUGUUGGGGCAACUGUUGCUUAGGUAGGAGGUUUUGAAAUUGUCUGUUGCAGUACUUGUUGGGGCAACUUCUUUUUUUCUUUUUUUUCCUUAAUGUUUAAGAUAAACUAUCCAUUUUUAAUUUAGAUUCCAUAUUGGAUUAAGUCUUGUAUUUUACCAUAGUAUCUAUUAUAUAGUGGC